AGAGCGAGGAGACACAAUGUAGGUAGCAAGAAGUCCCCGGUUCAGGUGCGGACCCGCCGACAUGGGCAACCAGAGGAUUUAUAACUGAAAUACAUUAUGAAAUUCUAGUUUCGGUUCCCAGCGAUUCUGUUAGUUGUAGAUUCUAAACUAAGAUUGUAUGGCGUUUUCCUUCACGCAGCAACUGAACUGAGUUCCAGAGAAAGGUGCUGUUUACCUAGCAUCAUCUUACCUUGGCUCAUGGUGACCCAAACCUCCGUGUAAAAUGAGAAAUCUUUCUACAGUCCAACUUACUUCCUAUGAGAAAUUGAAUGUGAAGGUCACUUCCUCAGGACUACUGAAGACUUUGAAAGGGACUAUGUUGGUCUUCCCUACGGAUGGAGGGUUUCCUGCGAUCUUAACCAUUCAAC
rnacentral:lncRNA from 1 species